CCACACCGGCGUCUACUCCAGUAAGCCAAACAGCCAGGCUGGGUCCCCCAGUGGUGAUCACCAAUCGCCAAUCACCAAUCGUGUCCAGCACAGCAAGUGACGGAACAACCCAGCAUGCCACCCAAGUCCCAACGGAGGAGAGAACAUUUCAAGACCCACGCGCAGGCCAAGUACUGAGCACGGGUGAAAAACUGACGACAGGAAUGCUGGCUGCAAUGGGCGUCCUGGCUCUACUGUGCAUAGGUCUGGGAGUCUGCGCACUGUCAGCGAAAUCCAACGAGAGCAUAACUAAGGUACACCCCAUUGGUGGAAACAAAACAUUGGUCUCCAAUGACAAUGGAGGGGUUGUCGCCAUUACGUAGAUACUGUAACAGUCUACGAUAUGAAUGUAUAUUGUAAAUAGAGAACAUUAUAUGAUCCGAUAGUGUACACGGUAUGUUCAUUACCAUAGAAACAUAGCUUGCACCUCUUAGGUACCAACGUCAGAGGUUGAAAGGUUACACAGAGGGAUAUGCAGAGAUGCAAUUGCACAUCAAAAGAAGCGGUUUUAUGUAUCAAAUCUUAAGUCAGACCUCCACUGUUUACGGACACCAAUUCAGACCUGGUAUUGACUGCACGGUAUACGCUUGUGAACCAUGGCAUAGUCACGCUGUUCACGUGUCAGGUAAAAUGACGUCACACUGCACCUUUCCGCCAAGCUAAGUUGUUUACUAGUGUAGGAUUCUUGAAUGCAAAAGACGGGGGUAUAUUCCUGUAUAUUCCUGUGGCUGUACCGCCUGCCUUGGUGUGCUAAUAGGCCUCGCUUAAUAUAUCCAUUUAAUUGAAAUGUAAUGUUAUGUAUCGAAUAUUGUAUUAUAUUCGCAUGCACUUGUAUGACCUUGUCGGCAUGGUAGCUUUGAAAAGGUGUACUUAUGUCCACCUGUUCCACCAUGCCUUCCAUGUAUGUGUGUAGAAUUGUAAUAAAUGAAUAAAUUCCUCGUUGGUCUUAUACACUUCUAUACUUGUAUAUAUUAAACAACUCUUGAGCAAGGAAAACAAUAUGACUCUCAUUAUAUCUGGUAUGUCUUUAGAAUGUCAGAGAUGUAACCAGCAUAUGAACCAGAUGCGAGUACGUUAUGAAAUAUCGUUGUUUCUUCCUGAAUAUAAUGGUUUGCUCUUUGAUUGAUAAUUUGAUGAUAUGUCUACGACUGAAUGCCGACCAUCAAUAAAC